UGCACAAUGGGGGGAACCCUGAUGCAGCGACGCCGCGUGCGGGAUGGAGGCCUUCGGGUCGUGAACCGCUUUUGAUUGGGAGCAAGCGUGAGUGAGUGUACCUUUCGAAUAAGCACCGGCUAACUACGUGCCAGCAGCCGCGGUAAUACGUAGGGUGCAAGCGUUGUCCGGAAUCAUUGGGCGUAAAGGGCUCGUAGGCGGUUCGUCGCGUCCGGUGUGAAAGCCCAUCGCUUAACGGUGGGUCUGCGCCGGGUACGGGCGGGCUUGAGUGCGGCAGGGGAGGCUGGAAUUCCCGGUGUAACGGUGGAAUGUGUAGAUAUCGGGAAGAACACC
rnacentral:rRNA from 1 species